GUUCAUGUAGCUUAAAACCAAAGCAAAGCACUGAAAAUGCUUAGAUGAACCCUAAGGGUUCCAUAAACA
rnacentral:tRNA from 1 species